rnacentral:lncRNA from 1 species
AUUUUUUCAAAGCCAGCCGCAAGAUUGCUCAUAAGACGAUUUCGGACGCUUACAAGUGUUUUUACGACAUCACUACUUCGAGGGCUUGGCUUGCCGACGAUAUAAGUGAAGUAGUAAUAUUGUUAUUUAUUACGUAUACAUAUUUUUGAGUUUUUGAAUUUAUGAAAUUAAAUAACUCCUUUUUUAAUUGGUGUUUCCUUAUACAGCACAUUGACUUCGCCAUGGAUUUGCUACGAGAUUGAGCUGAAAGUCAUCCAAGAUUGUUCAACAUUCCUGGCCGACUCAUAUUGAACACUGAGUUCAUACGUGCCGUUGACAUUGAUUACAGAUGCUCCAAGCUAUGGUUAGCGAGUACACGAUGCCUACAUACAUGAUGGAGUGGGUCGUAGGGAUGUGGCCGAGUGUCAGGAGAUAGCCAUGGGAGGGUUGUACGCAUCUGUAUAUCCCGGUGUGUGUGAAUCAUCACUACAUUACAGUGGAGAUUGUAUUCGCCGAUUCAACUAUGUAUGUGUAUGACCUCGAUCAUUCAUUCCCGACACAAGGUCAAUUCGAGAAAAAUUUGGAGUCGGUGUCUGUGAUCGUCCCCAUGCCGGCUAGGCGAGCGAACAUCACUGUGCAAGAUAGACUGGCCACCGUGCGGGACACGACGGCGGCGAGACAGCAAAUAUCGUAAGUGUUUGUUAUUUUAUUUUUUAAUUUACAACGAACGUUCUAGUUAGAAGAUAAUGUGCUACUACAAUAUUUUGUAAUUAUAGGGGUGAUUACGACAUGUUCGUCAUCAAGUAUAUAGAUUUUUUGAGUGUACCACAGAAGGUUGAUGCAAUCAACCAGGCACGGAUACAAAAUUGGAUAAAUAAAUUAGCUUGUGAUUUAUUUGAAUUUAAUGGUGAUCCAUAGAUAUUGGAGCCGCAUUUUUUAAAAUAAUUGUACAUAUUGUAACAUCUAAACAUUGUAUAUUUCAUUCAUUCAUUUGUAGUUAUGAAAUAAUUGUAAAACGUAUAUUAUUUUUCUAAUAUUUAAUUUUUAUUUUAUAAUUUA